CCUACGGGAGGCAGCAGUGGGGAAUAUUGCACAAUGGGGGAAACCCUGAUGCAGCGACGCCGCGUGAGCGAAGAAGUCUUUCGGUAUGUAAAGCCCUAUCAGCAGGGAAGAAAAUGACGGUACCUGAGUAAGAAGCUCAGGCCAAAUAAGUGCCAGCAGCCGCGGUAAUACGUAUGGAGCGAGCGUUAAUCGGAAUUACUGGGCGUAAAGCGCUAGUAGGCGGUAUGUCAAGUCAAGGGUGAAAUCCCCGCGCUCAACCUGGGAACUGCCGUUGAAACUGGCAAACUGGAGUGUGUGAGAGGUUAGUGGAAUUCCAGGUGUAGGAGUGAAAUCCGUAGAUAUCUGGAGGAACAUCAGUGGCGAAGGCGACUAUCUGGCACAUAACUGACGCUGAGGAGCGAAAGCGUGGGUAGCAAACAGGAUUAGAUACCCUUGUAGUC
rnacentral:rRNA from 1 species